GGUUAGGGUUAGGGUUAGGGUUUGACAUGUAGGUAUUGUAUAGAGAUAUUUGUCUAUUGUUAAAGACAUUUAUAGGGUUAGGGUUAGCGUUAGGGUUUGACAUGUAGGUAUUGUAUAGAGAUAUUUGUCUAUUGUUAAAGACAUUAUAGGGUUAGGGUUAGGGUUAGGGUUUGACAUGUAGGUAUUGUAUACAGAUAUUUGUCUAUUGUUAAAGACAUUUUAGGGUUAGGGUUAGGGUUAGGGUUUGACAUGUAGGUAUUGUAUAGAGAUAUUUGUCUAUUGUUAAAGACAUUAUAGGGUUAAGGUUAGGGUUAGGGUUUGACAUAUGUAGGUAUUGUAUACAGAUAUUUGUCUAUUGUUAAAGACAUUAUAGGGUUAGGGUUAGGGUUAGGGUUUGACAUAUGUAGGUAUUGUAUACAGAUAUUUGUCUAUUGUUAAAGACAUUAUAGGGUUAGGGUUAGAGUUAGGGUUUGAAUAUGUAGGUAUUGCUAUAGAGAUAUUUGUCUAUUGUUAAAGACAUUAUAGGGUUAGGGUUAGAGUUAGGGUUUGACAUAUGUAGGUAUUGUAUAGAGAUAUUUGUCUAUUGUUAAAGACCAUUAUAGGGUUAAGGUUAGGGUUAGGGUUUGACAUAUGUAGGUAUUGUAGAGAUAUUUGUCUAUUGUUAAAGACAUUAUAGGGUUAGCGUUAGGGUUAGGGUUUGACAUAUGUAGGUAUUGUAUACAGAUAUUUGUCUAUUGUUAAAGACAUUAUAGGGUUAGGGUUAGAGUUAGGGUUUGACAUAUGUAGGUAUUGUAUAGAGAUAUUUGUCUAUUGUUAAAGACAUUAUAGGGUUAAGGUUAGGGUUUGACAUAUGUAGGUAUUGUAUAGAGAUAUUUGUCUAUUGUUACAGACAUUAUAGGGUUAAUAGGGUUAGGGUUAGGGUUUGACAUGUACAUGUAGGUAUUGUAUAGAGAUAUUUGUCUAUUGUUAAAGACAUUAUAUUCACCUCCAGUUGUCCAAUUAUCUCUUAUUUAGAUUUGACAAAUCUUUCAUUUUGACAUAGAUAUAAUAUUAAAAACGGUCAAACAAUGUACACUAGAGAAACAAAAACCCCAACGAACAAGUGCACGCAUAUCACAUUUAAGUUUAAGUUUUUUGUAUCAGGUCCAUUCGUUAUUCGUAAUCAAGUCGUGACUGAAAACUUUCAUCUUGUUUUGUCAUAUGCCAAUUAGACAUUUACAUUUAAGGCUUUUAGAACUUUAAGUGGCGUUAUAAAUAUGUAUGAUCUUAAUUGGGAUUUUUAAUUUUUGUUGAAAUUUUUGUGAAAUAAAAAUUGUAUAUGUUGUUGUUUUUUUGUUGUUUUUUAUCAUUCUAAUAUCUUAAUAUUUUCAACAAGUAUUGCCGGUUUGAUUAAAAUGUGUUUACGAUUCUAGAUACAUUUCUGUUUUAUAAUCUAUUACCUAUAUAAGGCAGUGGUCCCAUCGUUACAAAGUCUAUUUACAUUGUAAAUAAAUAAACAAGUACUAUUAAGUACUUUCCCAUUUUAGUUGUUUCCCAUUACGACAAACUUUUU
rnacentral:lncRNA from 1 species